GCUCAACUGAGGAAGUGCUUCGAAAACUGGUAAACUUGAGUGCAGAAGAGGAAAGUGGAACUCCAUGUGUAGCGGUGGAAUGCGUAGAUAUAUGGAAGAACACCAGUGGCGAAGGCGGCUUUCUGGUCUGUAACUGACGCUGAGAUUCGAAAGCAUGGGUAGCAAACAGGAUUAGAUACCCUGGUAGUCCAUGCCGUAAACGAUGAGUGCUAAGUGUUGGAGGGUUUCCGCCCUUCAGUGCUGCAGCUAACGCAUUAAGCACUCCGCCUGGGGAGUACGAUCGCAAGAUUGAAACUCAAAGGAAUUGACGGGGGCCCGCACAAGCGGUGGAGCAUGUGGUUUAAUUCGAAGCAACGCGAAGAACCUUACCAGGUCUUGACAUACCAUGAAAAGCUUAGAGAUAAGUCUUUCCCUUCGGGGACAUGGAUACAGGUGGUGCAUGGUUGUCGUCAGCUCGUGUCGUGAGAUGUUGGGUUAAGUCCCGCAACGAGCGCAACCCUUAUUAUCAGUUGCCAGCAUUCAGUUGGGCACUCUGGUGAGACUGCCGGUGAUAAACCGGAGGAAGGUGGGGACGACGUCAAAUCAUCAUGCCCCUUAUGACCUGGGCUACACACGUGCUACAAUGGUCGGUACAACG
rnacentral:rRNA from 1 species